AACUAAGUUUAUGAUUGUUUUCAGUCCCUACAAUAAUUUAUAGUGCAGGCCGCAGAUAUGGUUAGUGCAAUUCCAACUCCAUAGAGAACUUACUGUAAAUGACCGAUUCCGUGGCUUCCUUUUGUUACCUUUGCGAACUCAAUCCAGAGGUUUUGCUUUUUCUUCAGUCAUCCAUACCUCAAACCUGAUAGUGCUUACUAAUUUCGCAAAUAUCUGGUGCAUGUACAUCCCUUCACAUGAGACCUAUAAAUUACUUUCUUUUAGGAAAUACUCUAAUUGCAGAGAUUUAUUCUUUGUUAAUGGCUCGACUAAUUUGGAUUACUCUUAUAUUUAUUUUUUCUAUCGUGAAUUUUUCGCAGGUACGAGUAAAUAUUGGUUCUUUGACAUUGAUCCUUAAAUUUAAUAGUACUAAUUCAGAAGAUGGGUGCAUAACGAUAUCAUCGGAUUAAACAAGGUAUAUUGGUCUAUCAAAUAUACUACUGGUACAUAUCAAAAUGGUCUAUCAAAAUGUUUCUUCAGUCUAAUUCAGAGUGAUAAUCUCUGUGGUACGAGCCUACAAUUAUAUUUUGUUCUGCAGAUUGAGCGAAAGUUAGUGUCAUUUUACCAAAUUGAGUUUUCUAACAAAUUCCUUCUCUCACAAAUGGAAUUCAAGAAAACUAAUAAUUCUUUCCAUGUGUCCAAGUAAGUAACAUAAGCCUACAUACAUUGCAUCAGGAAAUUUCCUGAAUAUCUACUGAUAAAUAUUUUGACUGUAUUUCAUAGUAAUUAGAUACUUUAUGUGUUGUAUGCUAAGUUAGUAGACGAGACAUGGUACCUCAUCAUCAAUGAAUGCUAUUAUUCACCUAGGGAAACGUUCUUCAUCAAUGGCUAUCACAAUUGCUGGCAAUUUUCUUUAAUAUUUCCUUGUAAUUACUUAAAUAAAACCAUUUGACUUGAGUAAUCGAGGAAUGUCGUAAACAACUUGAAAAGUGUAGUACCAGUUACAAACAGAAUUUAUGAUAUUGGAUUGAUGACAGACCAUGCAUCAACGGGAUCCGGAAAGAUAUUUCUUACUGUAGUUAUCAUGACAGUAAUUUCUUCAGCUACCGUUUCUGUGAAAAACCAAGCAAGAGUUUUGCACCAUUGAUUUUAUAUGCAGAAAAGAAAUAACAAACUUGAUAAAAUUACUGUACUGUGAAGGACUACUCUUAUAUUCAGUUAGGUGAUCGUGGACUUCUCCAACACAUGUCAUAGGAAAUAUGCAGCUACUUAUGCAAGUUUGCUUUAUGAAGGUUAUCACCUUCAACCAUUUAACAUGCUUUUUAUAUUGCAUAUUAUGAUGAUUCCGUAAUAGUGUCUGCAGUUAGUUUGUUGUCAUCCUUUUCCAUGACAAAAGUUUGAUAUUACAUUGUUUUUCUCCAUAUCCCGCAUUGAACAACAGUACCACAAAUACAAUCAUAAGGGUAGCGACUAAGGUGUGCUUUUCCUUGGUGAUUGUCGGAGGGUAUAUUUUUUAUUUCCGAAUUGGCAAGAAAGGUCUAACUGACAAUAAAAGUCUAUAAUGGUGUUUCCGCAUCUACUAGGAGACUGCUUUUCACCAUUUUCAGUUGACUCCACAUUGUUUCUGUCCUGAACCUGGAAGAUAUAUGCUCCUUAAUGCGCAGCCUGGGUCUUUUCAUUGUAUUUUCACAAAUAUACAAAGAUUACGUAUCAUUUCAUUGAUAUGAGUGAAACAACAAAAUUUGGCAAUGCACAGAGCCGCCGACACGAACCUGCUUGGUGCGCAAUCACAAGAGCAGAACAGAGAAGUGGGUUGCUCAGCCCACAACAUCACCGGCAGGAUCACAUCCUAAAUGUAUUGUAUUUUCUAGAUCUAUAUUAGUACCUACAAAACCUACAUACUCCCUUCGUCCUGAAAUUCAUGUACAGUGUACGUUUUGCAAAAAACACCUCACAAUUUUAAAACAGUAGCAAGCACGUCCUUGACUCCUUCUGCUUCCUCUGUCCGCCGCCCGUGCGUCGCCAGGGGCCAGGGGCCGGCGCCGCGGGAUUCCGCCGCCGUGCUGGAGAUUCCUGCACUCACGGCCCACCCGCAACCACGCACCGCCGCCCACCCGCCACCAGCUGCCCGCGGAUUCCGCCGCCCAACGCCGCGACCACCAGGCGAGCCGGUCCUCGAUCCGUCGCGACCACCUGCCGGCGACCACCUGUGUGAUAACGCCGCCCACCUGCGCGACCAGCCACUGCGGCGCCGCCCACCUCGACCUGCACCGCUGCCAACCCGUCUCUGCUACUUUGAGACUCCGAUCGCCGGCCCCGUCUCUGCUGCUGGGAGAUUCCGAUCGCCAGCCCAGUCUCUCCUUCCCCUCCGACUCCUUCCUCGCCGACUGUGCUGCCCCCCGACGCCUACUGCUGCUGCUGCUUCAACCAAACGAACUCUGCUGCUGCUUUGAAUUGUCCUGCUUCGACCAAAAUUCAGUGGAAUUGCCCGGCCUCUGCUGCUGCUGCUGCUAGGUAGGCAGUCCUGCGAAAUUGGUAAUGUUAGUUUGGAAACAUUCAAUCAUGUUAAUUAUGGAAACAUUCCAUCAUGUUAAUUAUCGAAACAUUAGAUCAGGAAAUGGGAUUCUGUUACUUUUGGAAACAUUCAAUCAUGUUAAUUAUGGAAACAUUAGAUCAGGAAAUGAAUUUUGUUAAUUUUGGAAACAAUUGAACCAUGUUAACUUCGGAAACAUUAAAUCAGACAAGAUUUUGGCAACUGGAAUUACUACGACAUGGAUUAUGGACUCUCACCUGAUCAUCAUCUAUGUUCAGGUUCUAAAAAUAUUCAAUUAGACAGUUUGGACUUGUGGCUGUACUUUGCUAUUUAAAUAUGUUCAGGUUGUAAAAAUGGGACAGCAAUAUAACAUCAAGCAAAACUCUUGCAAAUUUUUAGUUUCGACAGUGUCAAAGAAUACAGUAGUUUUGAGAGUAAUUUUGAUAAUUCAAGCAAAUUAAUUUUUACAACCUGAUAAUUUUGAUAAUUCCAAACAAAGAGUUGGGGCAUCCCUGUUUGACAAACCACUCUCAAAAAAUGACCUGUAAUUUUGUAAUUUACUCCAAAUCACGAAGAGAUACGACAACCAUAUGUCCAAAUCAUGAAUCACAACAAGAAACUCUAAAGUUGAAUGAUGUGAAGUGGAUGAACUAAAGAAGGACCAAGCAUGUUGUGUGUUGUAUGCCAGGUUUCAGUUAAUCUUCUGUAUGAACUAAAGAAGUAAAUGAUGUAAACAGAGCUUGAUCCCCAGGUUUCAGGUUUCAGGAUGUAGAAAGUUCACUUAACAUAGUUAUUGAUCACCUAGUCAAGUCUGUGAUCACCUAGUCUGUGGUGUGACAAAUGGAGGGGCAUCAACCUGCACCUGUCUGACGAUGCAUUUUUUUGGGGUUCACAUAUCAUACAAGUUCAGAGAUAAAAACAAGAUCUCCUAACAAUCUACUCUAGGAUAAAAAUAUAACUCUGUUUAGUGCUAGCUUUCUUCCUAACAAAGUUACUGCUCCUAAAUAUGGACACACAAUUUUUUUUUUUUGAUUUACACAAGAUCUCACAGUGAAGGACAAUAUGGGGUACUCCUACUCCUGAUGUAGUUGCAGCUACUCCUAUUCCUUCUUCUACUCUAGCUGCAGUAAGCAAUAUCACCAGCCAAACAAUAUCUGCAGUAGUAUCUCAACAAGCAGUACUUGCUGCUAUGGAUGCGGCCAUGGAUGCAUCAAACAAGUUUUAAAAUCAAAUUUAAACAAUGCUGCUAUUCAAAAAUUAGAUGGAAAAAGCUCAAGAUAAUUAAUCAUGACUACUGUCACAUGACAGAUUACUCCUGUACAGUACUGUGCCAUUUUUUAAGUGCAGACUAAUUCUAUAAGUGCACGUUAAUUCUAGAAGUGCAGACGUUUAGUUGUGAGAUUAUACAGCAGGAACAUUCAGUCUCUAAUUCAGAUGUUUGCAGUUGAAAAUGCAGCAAUUCAGGAAUCACCUGAAUCAAUUCAGACCAUUGCCGCAGAUGUCCUUGAACUGCCUCUCCUUCCACCUGAAGAUGUUGCCACUCCUUCAAAGCACAAACUUUCAGACCAGAGCAUGCAGCAAUCCAACAGAAGAUUUCGCCACUCCUUAAACUGCCACCACACACACCGAAUCGUCGGCCUUGAGCGAAGCCUGCUUGUUCCUCACAUCAAACGCCUGUAGAAAUCCAAGAAGAUGAAGAAAUUGGGUGGACAUGGCCCGACCAAUCUAAGAAGAUAAAGAAGAAAUUGCAAUGGGCGCAGUAGAUCGAAGGGAGGAGAAGUGGAAAAAGGAGACCUUUGACUCCGGCGGGCUCCUGGGUGAGCUCCUCCACCUACCUCUUUGCGAUCCGCCAAGCAGCCGCCGCGCAAGGAGGGCGAGAAAGGAGGGCGCCCGGCCGCCGUGCCCCGCCGCUGCGCAAGGAGUACACACAUGGUCGUUGGACAGGAGCAGCGGAAGGAUCGACAAAAAAAAUGCAUGCUUCACGUUGGGGAACGAGGUGGGGAACGAGGCGGCGUGGCCGCGUGGGGCAUGGGGCGGGAAGGGUGGUGGCAGCGGGGGCGGCGUGGGACGGGAUGGGUGGUGGUGGAGAGGGGCGGCGGGGGCAGAAUUGGGCGGCAACACGGCGCCCGUCGUCGGGAAGGGUGGUGGUGGAGAGGGGCGGAGAGAGCGAGGAAGAAGAGGGACCUCAGGUUCGGUUGGGAAAAAGCCGGGGACUAAAUUGCAAAUAUCCACUUGCGACAAGAAUUACGGGACGGAGGGAAUAUUAUAUUCAAGUUUAACCUACUAGAAUUUUUCAAUUGGAUUUUUGUUGCAAUAUUUUUAAAUUUAUCAAGCUUUUAUUUUCAUGAGCACGAACUUUCAACCUGUAGUAUAGCUCGACAGGUCAACCCAGAACCAUUAUAUUUGUCUCUUCUAUCUAUAAGACGCCUGCUCAUAUCAUUUAUGUAGAUCUAAAGCUUCAGCCUUUGUGCCAAUAUAUUUUUUAACUGUUGUAGUGUUGUCUCUCUUUCAGAAAAGCUGUGAAACCAUGUUGUCGUUCAUGCAUUGCUACCUUAUUAGUUAGACUUGAAAAGGGACCUGAAUGUAUAUCUUUUCCAAAUUAGGCUAAUCUUUCCUUAUCGUCAUUGGGUUCUAUUUUUCAGAUCAUAAACUACUUUUUCAUUCGGGUAUGGACGUGGGUGGUAUCAUUUUCACAGGAGCAGCGUCUGGACAUGCAUCAAUAGGUGCUAAACUCACAUGCUACUACAAUGGACGGCUCUACAACAUUUUAUUUUAGAUGUACAACAAUAGAAGGGAAAUGUGCAUGCAGACGAUCAUGUGUUUGACGAUCAUACUUCUAAGUCCUUACUAUAACAACAAGAAGUUAAUCAGCAUGAUGUACUUAUGUUGUUGUGAUCAAACAUGUUGUCAUGCUUUAAAUGCCAUGGUAAUUUUCAUUGCAACGUCCACUUUACUCUACGGAAGGCGUUGUUGUUAAUAAUAAUUUCUAUAUUGUAAUAACUUGUGGUUGGACACUUGAGCUCCGUUAGUAAGUCUUUACUACCAAAUAUAUUCACUAAUGCUAAUUGCAAAAUUAAUGUGUACACAGUUGAAU
rnacentral:lncRNA from 1 species